AUCUCUGGCUUCCUAGGACGCCAAUAAAAACUCUCGACACCUAAGCAAUAAUUCCCAACAGUCUUUUCUUUUUGGCCGAAGAGCGCGGGGAAUAAGACCAGAUGCAAAGGCCUCCUGUCUAGGUGACCGUGUUUGCGCGAGGGCUGCUAAGGAUACAGAGCGCAUCAUCCCUGAUGCACUGCACAGCACGUGUUGCUUGGCAAUAGGUGACUCCGCUGGCAUGGCUUCCUCACGGACACGAGGUAGGUGCACCUGUAACACAUGUUCUUUCCAGGGCCUGUUUAUAAGGAGGGGUGAUCAGGACUCACAUGGCGCCGUAAGGAGGGGCCCGACAGGGACACCUGGGGCGAUGGGGGACACAAGAGCAUGAGGAGGCAGGCGGGAAUUGGGAAGGAGGUGCGAUCGGCAUUCUCUGGAUGAGUCCUAAUCCAUCUUUGAGCGAAUCAUAAAACUCGGUUUGCUCUCCGUGUGCGGGGAGCUGUGUGUUGAGCACGUGUCUGCUCAGCGCGUUCCUUGGGCUCCUCCCACUUAUUGUCCAACCGAUGAGGAAGCAGAGAUGCAGUGACUCUGCCUGAGGGCUGACACUUCCCACAGGUGCCUGUGCCGUCCUUGGUUAUAUGCGUAAAAUGCCUUGGGAACGCUGAAGUUCUGCAAUAAUAGGAGUCAAAAUCAUUACCGUUACCUUAAUGGAUUCUGGCCGUCUGCC
rnacentral:lncRNA from 1 species